UCAGUUCGGAUUGUAGGCUGCAACUCGCCUACAUGAAGUCGGAAUCGCUAGUAAUCGCGGAUCAGCAUGCCGCGGUGAAUAGUUCCCGGGCCUUGUACACACCGCCCGUCACACCAUGAGAGUUUGUAACACCCAAAGCCGGUGGGGUAACCUUUUGGAGCCAGCCGUCUAAGGUGGGACAGAUGAUUAGGGUGAAGUCGUAACAAGGUAAC
rnacentral:rRNA from 1 species